CCUGGUCAGUCCAAUAGCGAGAGCAGCUCGGAUCGAUUCAGAAGGAGCAGGUCAACUGGUCAAGUCCUGUAAUCUGAAUCGUGUGGUCUGUUCACUGUUGUUGUGUAAUGGGUGGCAAGGGAAUAGUGUGCGUGACCGGGGCAGGAGGAUACGUGGCAUCAUGGCUAGUCAAGCUUCUUCUCUCUAACAAUUACACCGUCCAUGCCACUGUUAGAAACCCUGAUGAUGCAAAAAAUAGUCACCUGAAGAAACUUGAAGAAUCAUCUGAUAGACUAAAACUCUUCAAGGCAGAUUUGUUAAAUUAUGACUCUAUACUUAUGGCUGUAAAAGGAUGCAAUGGAGUCUUUCAUGUUGCCAGUCCAGUGCCCUCUAGCAGUGUACCAAAUCCUGAGGUUGAAAUUGUCGAGCCUGCUGUAAAAGGUACACUGAAUGUGCUCAAAGCAUGUCUUGAAGCUGGUGUCAACCGAGUUGUGUAUGUGUCAUCUGGAGCUGCUAUUAUGCUGAACCCCAGCUGGCCUAGUGGAAAGGUGAAGGAUGAGAGUUGUUGGUCUGAUAAAGAAUACUGCAAGGCAACCAAUAACUGGUAUUGCUAUUCAAAAACAGAAGCAGAAUCAGAGGCCUGGGAGUUUGCUAAAAAGAAUGGGAUAAAUCUUGUAACUGUAUGUCCAAAUAUGGUUUGGGGACCAAUGCUGCAGUCCACAACGAAUGCUAGUAGUAUGGCUCUUGUUAAGCUUUUGAAAGAAAAGUGUGAACAACUGGAAAACAAGAUGCGUUUGGUGGUGGAUGUACGUGAUGUAGCUGAAUCACUUUUGAUGGUAUAUGAGAAACCGGAAGCUGAAGGACGAUACAUAUGCACGGCUCACACUGUCAGCACACAGGACUUGGUGGAGAUGCUGAAGAGACUCUAUCCUGACCACGAGUACCCAAAAAGUUUUACUGGUGCAGCAGUUGGUGUGAAUACUAGUUCAGAGAAACUUCAGACCCUCGGUUGGAGUUUCAGGCCACUUGAAGAAACUAUUUCUGAUUCCAUCGAGAGCUACAAACAGGGUGGAAUUCUGGAUUAACUGAUGGACUAAUGAUUUGCUAUUAUCUUUGACUGGUAGAAAUAAAUCCAAAAUCGGAUCUUUUGUCAAGGUUGAUUAUUCCGUAAAUCCAGACUGCCGGAUGUAGUUGCAGAAUAAGGUGCCAUUAGGUAUUUUUGCCACUUGCCAACAACUUUUUACUAAAGAUUAAUUGUAGCACUAAUGUUUGACUAGUUUAGAGUUGGAGGUGUUUUCCAAUAUUAUUGGUCAUUUGAAAUUGUAGAAAAUCAGAUCUGCGUAUGAUUUUCUUAUAAUAGUUGCUAUAUUGGCUUGUGAUA